UACGUAGGGUGCAAGCGUUGUCCGGAAUUAUUGGGCGUAAAGAGCUCGUAGGCGGUUUGUCGCGUCUGCCGUGAAAGUCCGGGGCUUAACCCCGGAUCUGCGGUGGGUACGGGCAGACUAGAGUGCAGUAGGGGAGACUGGAAUUCCUGGUGUAGCGGUGAAAUGCGCAGAUAUCAGGAGGAACACCGAUGGCGAAGGCAGGUCUCUGGGCUGUAACUGACGCUGAGGAGCGAAAGCAUGGGGAGCGAACAGG
rnacentral:rRNA from 1 species